UGGGGAGUAUUGAGCAAUGGGCGAAAGCCUGACGCAGCGACGCCGCGUGAGGGAUGAAGGUCUUCGGAUCGUAAACCUCUGUCAGCAGGGAAGAAAUUUUUAGUGUGCUAAUCAGCAUUAAAUUGACGGUACCUGCAAAGGAAGCACCGGCUAACUCCGUGCCAGCAGCCGCGGUAAUACGGAGGGUGCGAGCGUUAAUCGGAAUUACUGGGCGUAAAGCGCUCGUAGGUGGUAUGUCAAGUCAAGGGUGAAAUCCCCGCGCUCAACGUGGGAACUGCCUUUGAAACUGGCAGACUGGAGUGUGUGAGAGGAUAGUGGAAUUCCAGGUGUAGGAGUGAAAUCCGUAGAUAUCUGGAGGAACAUCAGUGGCGAAGGCGACUAUCUGGCACAUAACUGACACUGAGGAGCGAAGCGUGGGUAGCAAACAGGAUUAGAUACC
rnacentral:rRNA from 1 species